GGGGGCAUAUGGGGACACGGGGACACAGGGGACAUGGGGGGACAGAGGGGACAGAGGGAGAGGGAGAAAUAUAAGGGGACACGGAAUAUGGGGACACGUGGGGACACAGGGGGACAUGGGGGGACACGGGGGGUAUAAAGGGACAUGGGGGGCAUGGGGGACAUGGGGACACAAAGGGACAGGGAGAAACAUCAGGGGACAUGGAAUAAGGGGAUAUGUGGGGACACGGGGACACAGGGACAUGGGGGGACAUGUGGGAACACAGGGGGUAUAAGGGGACAUGGGGGGACACGGGGGACAUGGGAUAUGGGGACACGGGGGGACACGGGGACAUGGGGGGGCAUGUGGGGGCACAGGGGGACAAGGAGAAAUGUAAGGGGACGUGGGAUAUGGGGACAUAUGGGGACACGGGGGGAUGGGGGGACACACGCGGACAUGGGGGGAUUAGCAGGGACAUGGGGGGAUGUACAGGGAUAUGGGGACACGUUUCAGAGUUUGGGUUUUGGGGGUACAGAUCUCGGGGUUUGGGUUUUGGGGGUAUAGGUUUCAGGGUCAGGUUUUAGGGUUUGGGUUUUGGGGUUUGAGGUUCUGGGGUAUAGGUUUCGGGGUUUGGGUUUUGGGGUCUGGUUUUGGGGUCAGUUUUGGGGUCAGGUUUUGGGGUCAGGAUUUGGGGUCAGGGAGGUAUUUGGGGUCCUCACGCGCAGUGCGGGGUCGAGGUAGAGGCGGCUGUAGAAGAGCUGAUCAUCGUCGUCGUCCCGAUAGCGCCAGCGCUCCACCAGGCGCCAUAGGGUGGGGGCAAACCCCACAAACCCUUUUAUUUUUUUGGGGGGGCAGAUUUAGGGUGAGGGGGGACACCCCUCCCCCAAGGCAACCCCGAAGUCCCCCCCCUCUAAGCAGCAUGACCCCAAAGAAAUCCCCCCUAUAACUCCCCCGAAUCCCCUAUAACCCCCCAAUCCCCUUAUAACUCCCCCAAACCCACCCAUAACCCCCCCAAAUUUCCCCAUAACCCCCCAAUAACCCCCCCAAUUUCCCCCUUAACCCCUCAGUAACCCCCCCAAAUUCCCCUAUAACCCCCCCAUACCCCUCUAUAACUCCCCAAAAUUUCACUAUAACCCCCUAUAACCCCCCCCAAAUUCCCUUAUAACUCCC
rnacentral:lncRNA from 1 species